AUUUUGUCUUUUUAAGACUGUACCUGAGGCAUAUGGAGGUUCCCAGGAUAGGGGUCAAAUCAGAGCUGUAGCCACUGGCCUCGGCCACAGCCACAGCAACACAGGAUGCGAGCCACAUCUGCAAACUACACCAUAGCUCAUGGCAACAUCAGACCCCCUGACCCACCAAGUGAGGCCAGGGAUCGAACCUAUUGUUCAGAAUUCCCAGUCUGUCUCUAAAUAACAGAGUCCUUCCUCCCGCCCUGGGUAUCUUCCAAAAAGGUAGGAUUUCUAAACCAAAAUUUCACCAUUAUAAAGACUUGGUCUGAUAUAUCAUUCGACCCUUUUGAACUUCUAUUUCCUCUGCUCUCCCAGCCUCCUACUGUUCCUGUUGAUCUUUCCUUUGCACACCACAGGAAGCAAAAGGCAGCGGGAGCCUGGGGAGGGGGUAAUACUGGAGGGUACGCCUAGAUGCUUGACGUGGUCAGGGGAGCGCGUUACUGUGCCAUUAUGUUUUAUAGAGAGAAGUUUCUUCUGAGGAAGUCAAGGACCUUAAUUUCAGAGAGGAAGCCAGCUUUGCCAUUCCCCUGUGAAACUGGCAAAUUAUAAUAAAACAGACAGACAUCUAUCCUAUCGUGAGUGUUGAGACGUUGACAGAAAGUAGGUGGGAUGCCUGGGCUUGUGUUUGUGUCUGCCACGUGCUCGCACUUUUGCUAGCACUUUGCACUUCAGAGCCUUCUGUUUUCAUAUCCUCUUCCGAAUCACAAAUCACGGCAUGAAGAAGAAGAGAAUAAUGAGUACGUAAGCUACCGGGCGUGAAAAAUAUAUACAUAUUAGUUUAUAGAUUUGCAUAUGGUAUAUACACAUACGUUGAUAAUUUGUAUAGAAAUAAUAUAUAAAUAUAUAUAAAAUCAUGUGUGUACAUUCCGUAUAUACAUGGACGCUCUCUGUGAAUGAUAAAAACACCGUUUGUGUCAAGAUAUUUUUUUGCAGGGCUGUUGACGGUAACCUCUGCCCUCUCUGCAGAGAAGCAGAGAAAGGGGUGGUAAAAGUGCCAUCCACAGGGCAUCCCUGGGCCCUGCCUCGGACUGUUUCCACCCCUGCUGCUUCCCUCCUCUGCAACCUCCAAGGAGAUAAAGGAACAGCUGUGCAUUCCGCCCUGUGCUUGGUCAGCUACAUGCUUUGUAUCCCAAUCAGGGCGAUGGCAACUCCUGCGGUGGUGAUGAAUAGCGGUCCAGCCCAGCUGGAAUAGGUUUACAGCUGGCUUCCCUAGAGACACCGCCCCUCAGCCCAGCCGAGGGGCAAGAGCCGAAGGUUUAGAGUCAGACAACCCCUUUCCGAAUUAUGGUUUAUCUGCUUAUCUAUCGGCAGCUGAAUCUCGGGCAGUUACUCAAGCCGUGUCAUUUACAGAAUCCUGGUUUUCUCCUACUAAUAUUAGAAAGAGCUGAACUCCCCUUUCGGGAUAGUGCGAGGGUUGAGAAAUCAAAGGGAAGCGUCCGACACGGUUUUGACCACGUAGGAGGUCGUUCUAUGUGUUAUGUGCUGUCUUUCUUCCAUCGCCAAGUCCUUUUCCCAUCUUUCGGCAGCAUCCAAGAAGCUCUCAGGACCAUUCACUGCAAAUGCGUCCUUCUGUGAACCAGGGGGCCUCCGCCCAUCCCCUCAAAACCAGCGGCUCCCCUAGCAAAAGAGCUCUGUUUUCUUCCUGUACAUUUCAAUGACAUUCGUCGGAAAAUGUACCCUUUUGUCUUAAUUUCUUGGGAUCCAAGGUAGGUUCCCGUUAGUUCUUUGUUAGGAUUAUUAGCGUAUUUUGCAAAGCACAUGAUGGGACAAAGCUCUAGGGAGCCCUUUGGUGCUGCUUCUCUACACCGCACUGUCUUGGUUUAUAAGGUUUUGUCUCAAGCUUGGUUUCCCUUGAAACGAAGGCAAAGCUUUUCAUCUGCAGCCCAUUCAUUUAUAAGGAAUUACAAACUUUUAUGGGCAGUUUUGCUGUCAGUUUGCAUUUACUUUGCUUGAGUCCCCUUGUGAUUAUGCCAAAAAUACAACUGGUUGUAUGAUUCAAAGAUAAAUUCUUCUAGCAAACACUGAUAAAAGAGUUAUGGUUAUUAAAAUUUCAUACGAUAAAGAAUCCACUCGAAGAAUUUGAGGUUUUUUUGUACAUGAGACCUCCAAGAUCACGCACCUUGAUACCUUGUUUGUUUGUUUGUUUUUUAAUUUGUGUGACUCACUUUAUUUGAUUUGAUUUGAUUUUUUCUUUUUGGCUUUUCUGGGGCCGCUCCCACAGCUUAUGGAGGUUCCCAGGCUAGGGGUCUAAUAGGAGCUAUAGCCACCGGCCUACACCACAGCCACAGCAACGCGGGAUCCGAGCCGCGUCUGCAACCUGCUCACAGCACCGCUGGAUCCUUAACCCACUGAGCAAGGGCAGGGACCGAGCCCACAACCUCAUGGUUCCUAGUCGGAUUCAUUAACCACUGCACCACAACAGGAACUCAAGAUACCUUGUUUUUAAACGGCUACUGUGAGAGAAAAUUUUCAAGUGUCAUGGCAUAUUCCACUAAAUGCAUCAUAUAUAUUGUCUAAAUUCCACAUGAGCUCCAUCUAAUAGGUGAAAAAACUGAGGAUCUGAAAAGUUUAAUAAAUUUUCCAAGGUCAAGCAGCAGACCCAGAGAUUGCAGUUUCUGGCUCUUUUCAUCAGCAAAAAGUUAAAUGUUGUUUUAUGCGGGAGGAAGCUGAGCCCAAAGGCUCCUAACUGGGUUUGAAGAGGGUUACAGAGCUGGAAUGACACAUCUUGGCUGCUGAAGGCCCAAUUCACUCUUCAAUUUGACCUUAUUAAGAUAUUAGGAGGCGUUCCCAUCGUGGCUCACUGGUUAACGAACCUGACUAGUAUCCAUGAGGAUGCAGGUUCAAUCCCUGGCCUUGCUCAGUGGGUUAAAGAUCCAUGGUUGCUGUGAGCUGUGGUUUAGGUCGCAGAUGUGGCUUGGCUCCUGCAUUGCUGUGGCUGUGGCUUUGCUGCGACCCUAGCCAGGGAACCUCCAUAUGCCGUGGGUGUGGCCCUACAAAGAAAAAAAAAAAAAGAUAUUCAGAUGGCGUCUGUCACGCUUUUUUUUUUUUUUUUUGAAGAUUUUCAUUUCAUAGUGAGGAAUUAAGCACAAACACGAUUUCCUAUUUUUUUUUACUUUGUCUCAGUUUCCAUGUGUAUUCAUUUUCCCCCAUAACUAUGCACCUCUAGUUCCAUUGUAUUGUUUCUUUUCAUUACAUGGGAACGUUUGAAUCUCCUCCAUUCUUUAUGGGGUAGGUGAAGAACAACUGAAUGACAGCACAAAGAGUUCUAUGGAAAAAUAAAAAAUGCGCAGUCCAAUGAAGUAGUUUAGGGCACUAAGAAGAAUGAUGUUGUGAAUAGCGGAUGAUGCGUCUUGUCCUCUCUCCCCUGUGUCUCGCCUCGCUCUUCAUGUUAAAACAUCCUGGUUCACUGCACAUCCUAGGGAAGUAUAGCCAGGUGACGCGCACAAGAAGCGGUGGGAAUUUUUACAGCAAUUGUAUGAACCCCCUUGAUUUGCUCUGGCAUUUUUACCCACCGCUUGGCUGAAUCCAGGUUCUCAUUUAGGGCUCUUUUUUGAAAGACUUCUUUAUUUUUAUUUUUAUUUUUUUUUAGGACGGCACCAGCAGCAUGUGGAGGUUCCCAGGAUAGGAGUCGAAUCGGAGGUGUGGCCACCAGCCUAUGCCACAGGCAUAGCAAUGCCAGAUCUGAGCCACGUCUGCAACCUAUGCCACAGCUCAUGACAACGCCAGAUCCUUAGCCCACUGAGCGAGGUCAGGGAUGGAACCCGCAACCUCGUGUAUCCUAGUCAAGUUUGUUAACCACUUAGCCAUGACGGGAACUCCUUAAUUAGGGCUCUUUAGGCUUCCCUUUGAGGCUGCCUCCAGGGCUUGGACUUGAUGGCUGAGUAAGGGUGAAUCUCUGGGUUUGGGUCUUCCCAGCUUUCCCAGGCCUUCGCUGAAGCACACCACUAGACCUUCCUGCUCCAGGAUCCAUUCCGCUCCUUGUUCUGGGCCUAGCCCCCAGGCCUCCAAAUCCUGCCCUCUGCUUGAUGGAGAACUGUGCAAGCCAAGACUGUUCUUCCCCAUUUGUCGGAUACAUUUGCCCAAGGCGGGGAUGGUUUUAUCCAUGUCUCUCUACUGUCACAUGGUCUCAUGCAAUAAACAUUAACACGAUGCAAAACACAAUUUUUAAAAACCCAGGAGGUCAGGUAAAGAAUGUGGCCACAAAGGGAAAAAAAGACCUCAUAUGAGCAGUAACUUUGACGCGGGUGAAGUAGACAGAGCUAACCUCUUGAACACACAGCACCAGGAAUCAUCUUGAAUAUAUGGGGAGAGGAAGUGGGAGAAUAUUAAAUGGUUCCUCCUACUUCCCAAAUGUCCUUGGUGCCCACUCCUGCUCCAAUGCUUCUCUCUCCCAGGCUGAAUCCACGGCCUCACAGGGAGUUCCCUGGAAUCAGGUGACAGAGGAAGAGAAGCCUAGCUUACAGGUGGUUCUGCACAAUAUGCAGGCACCUCCCAGACCUGGACAGCUGCACUACCGCAGCCCCCACCCUGGGGCGUCUCUGAAGGACAUGGGUGAAGGGAACUUCCCCCAGUGGGCUGCAUUUCAGGCUGUACACCUGCAUAUUCGCUUUGCUUAGAAAGAGAAUUGGUCAGACGUGCAGUUAGACACCAAUUCAUGGACUACGGCCAAUGGUUUGGCUGGAUGGUCAGGAAGGAACAUGACUGGAAACUUGAUGACAAGUAAAUGUGGGAAAAACUGAUGACAAGGCACUCUGGAUAGGCCUCUUUGAGUAUGCAAAAAAGGAUAUUUGUGUCCCAUGUGAAUGCUCACUAAAGGAAAAGGUAACAUAGCAAAGGAGCAUUUUGAUAAUUAAGUGGAAAAAAUUAUCUUUUUUAUGGAUACCCAUCAAUCCCUUUCUCCAUUCACUCCUAUCAUUACCUAAUGGGCUCAUGAACCAAGUGGCUAGGGUGGCAAAGAUAAAAGUUAUGCAUGGGGCCAGCAACAUGGAUUUCCACUCACCAAGGCCAACCCGGCUGCAGCCCUGCUGAAUCCCCAGUCUGUAAACCACAAAAACCAAUGCUGGGCCCCCCAGAUGGCACCACUCCCCAGGGUGAUCAGCUGGUGACAGGUGAUUACACUGGAUGGCCUGCAUCCUAAGAGGGGCAAUAUUUUCUUAUUGGAAGAAACACUUAGGUUGGAUAUGGAUUUGCUUUCCAUACAAUGUUUCUGCCAAAACAACCAUCCACGAACUUACAAAUCUGCCUUAUCUACUGACAUGCUUUGCAUUGCUUCUUACCAAGGAAAGCAAUUCUCAGCAAAUGAAGUUUGGCAGUGGGCCUGUGCUCAGGGGAUUCACUGGUCAUCCAGAAGCAGCUGGUUUGAAGACUUAGUUGCAGUGACAGCUAGAUGGCAAUACCUUGCAGGACUGGAGCUAGGUUCUUCAGAAGGCUGUUUAUGUUCAGAAUAUUAGCAUCUCAUAUAUGGUGUUGUCUCUCCAAGAGCCAGGAUUCAUGAGUACAGGAAUUAAGUGGUGAAAAAUGAGAAAUUCACUACUCAUUACUACCUCGAGUGACCCACUGGCAAAAUUUUGGGUUUCUAUUCCUUUGACCUUAUGUUCUACCAGCCUAGAGGUCUUAUCCAGAGGGAUGAAUGCUCUUACCAGGAGACACAACACCAACUCCAUCGAACUGGAGUUAAGACUGCCCCCCACCAUCUGCUUUAUAUUCCUCAGACUUCCGAAUCAACAGGCAAAGAAGAGAGUUACGGUAUUGGCUGGGUGAUUGACCCUGACUAGCAAGGGAAAUUUGACUAUUCUUCCAUAAUGGAGAUAAGAAAGCAUGUGUCUGGCAUAUAGGAAAGAGAUCCUGUAGGGCCUGUCUUGGUAUUUCCAUGCCCUGUGAUUAAGUCCAAUGGAAAACUUCAAUAAUCCAAUCCAGUUAGCACAGCUAAUAGUUGAGAAGCCUUAGGAAUGACGAUUUGGGUCAGUCCACCAGGGAAAGAAUUACCAAUUGAGAUACUUGCUGAAGGCAAAGGGUAUACAGAAUGGGCAGUAGAAGAAGGUAGGUAUAAAUAUCAGCUACAAGAUGCGACCAGUUAUAAAAACAAGAACUGUAACUGUCAGGAGUAUUUCCUCCUAAUUUUGUUACAAAUGUGUGUGUGCAUAUGUGUGUGUGUGUAUGAAGCAAAUAUUUUUUCCUCUCUUACUCCCUUGCCAUUUAACAUACAACACAUUGACUUUAUACACAGUAUCUGAGUACCGUUAAUUUAAUACAUAAUAGUACUUAAGUUAUAGGAUAUCAAGAAGAGUUAUCACUCAAGGACUUUCACUCUCUUCUGGAAGAAAGGGGUCUUAUUAUAUUUGCAGUGGGUCACAGGAUAACUGCAUCAUGUUUGGUAGAAUUCUUGUUCUUGUCUUUAUUUGGCGAUUAAGUAUGGUGAUGGAGAUGGGAAGUUGUCAACUUGCAAGUUGACACGGGGUGGACCUGUGGUGGUUAAUAUUAUGUGUUAGCUUGAAAGGGCUAUGGAGUAUUCGGAUAUUUGGUGAAACAUUAUUUUUUGUGUGUCUGUGAGAGUGUUUCUGCAUGACAUUAACAUCUCAAUUGCAGACCAAGUAAAACAGAAUGCGCUCCCCAAUAUGUGUGAACUUCAUCCAAUCCAUUGAGUGUCUGAAUGGAACAAAAGGCUGAGUAAGGGGGAAUUUGCUUUCUUGGCCUGCCUUUGAGCUGGGACAUAAGUCUUCGCCUGCCUUUGGUCUUGGUCUUGGCCUUGGACUCAGACUGGAACUUACACCUUUCACACUCCUGGCUCUUGAACUUGAACACAGACUUGGACUGAAACUAUACCAUCAGCUCCCCUGUGUCUCCAACAGAUCCUGGGACUUCUCAGCUUCCAUAAUCUUCUGAGCCAGUUCUUCUCAUGAGCCAACAUAGCCUAUUCAUUCUUGUUCUAUUUCUCUGGAGAACUCUAAUAUACCUGCUCAACACUUAAUCACUACUUGUCACUAUACAAUUAUUUAUGAGAUCAUUUAUGGUCUGACUACAUGUCCCUUGAGGGUAUUAUAAUAGUAAUAGCUAUUGUUAUUAUGAUUACAGAGUAAUAAUUACAAAACUAUCCACUACAGCAGCAAUAACAUCCAACCCUUAUUUUAUACUCACACAAUGCCAGGCACUGUUUUUAAGUACCUUACACGCAUACAUUCAUGUGUUCCCUACAACAAAACUGUGAGUUAGAUAUUACUACAAUCCCAGUUUACUAAUAAGGAAACCAAGGCACUGAGGCAUAAAAUAUACGCAAGUCCAUGCUGCAGCCAGGAUUGGAAACUCAGUGGGCUGGACCUAGCUCUGCAUCAUGAAAACUGUGUCUCAUGUUAUUUUGCUUUGGAAUCUCAUAAUUGAGGACAGUAGUUUUCUUUACACUGUACUCCCUACACUCACGCAUCAGAAAAGCAGCUUGACGGUACAGCAGCAAGUAAAUAAGUGGUAUCCUGGAACUAGACCCCCUGGAUAUGAGGGGGUCUAACUUAAUCACUUUUAACUGUGAGAUUGGAAGCAAGUUACUUAACCUCUCUGUUCCUCAGAAUUUUCACUUAGAUUAUUGUUAAGAUUAAAUACAUCAAUACUUGCAACGUGCUUAGCAUAACAUCUGGUAUUUGGGAAGUAUUCAGUACUUGCUUGGUUUUAUAAUGAUGCUGAUUUUAUCCAUCACUUCACCUCCAUCAGCCAGAAGGAGGCAUAUAAUACUCCAUAAACAUCUGAUAAAUUAAAGAAUGCAUUCGCUGUAUUGCACAGUACAUUCUUUUAUCUGACAACCCUGCUGCCUGCUUUCCUUCCAUCCACCCUCCAUCACCUCUAACGCAUGAAGCUCCGUGUUAGAGGCUAGGGUGACAGAGCAGAAGAAGACAUGAUGGUGUCCUUAAGGCA
rnacentral:lncRNA from 1 species